AGAGCAAGGGCUUUCGCGUGGAGAAUCCAAUAUGAAGAGAGGUACAGAGACGCAGCUGCAGGUGUAUUCUUUAAUACAUCUCUCAUAAUCUCAUUCUUCUAUAUCUUAUCAUCGGACUUGCAAUUUACAACACUAAUCAUCUAUAUAUAUAGAUGUAUAUGUAUGCUUUUCUACAUAAUCGAUUAAUGGGUCUUCACUCCUGAAAAUAUUAACGAAGAUUGCUUCUUUAUCAGGUCUCUCUCUGAUUUUUAACCGUUGUGACCAUAUCGUUGCCGAUGAGUUCAACUGUCUCACCUUUUGGUGGAUUUCCUCCAUCACUAGGGAUCGACAAUCACAAUUCACCAAUAGCUGGAGAUAUCGGUCCUUUUAGCAACUCCGAACCAGAUGUUAGCAACAAUGAUGAAGCAGAAUUACUUUAUGCCUCAUGGAAUCAGGAUUAUGGCUGCUUUGCUGCUGGAACAAGUCGUGGAUUUCGUAUAUACAAUUGUGAUCCCUUUAAAGAAACUUUCAGGCGGGAUAUGAAAAAUGGGGGAUUCCGUAUUGUCGAGAUGCUGUUCCGUUGCAACAUUCUGGCACUUGUUGGUGGGAAAGAAAAUACGCAAUAUCCUCCGAAUAAAGUUAUAAUAUGGGAUGAUCACCAGAGCCGGUGCAUUGGGGAAUUCACAUUUAGAUCUGAGGUCCGAGCAGUUAAAUUAAGAAGGGAUCGUGUGGUUGUGGUACUUGAACACAAGGUUUAUGUUUAUAAUUUUAUGGAUCUGAAACUUCUUCAUCAAAUUGAGACUUUGGCAAACCCCAAAGGACUCUGUUGUCUCUCACACCAUUUGAAUACAUCCGUCUUGGCUUGCCCAGGCAUUAGGCGAGGACAGGUCCGCAUCGAACAUUUUGGGCUACAUAUUACCAAGUUAAUUCAUGCACAUGAUGCUCAGAUAGCAUGUAUGACCUUGACAAUGGAUGGGCUUCUUCUCGCAACCGCUAGCACAAAAGGCACAUUGAUAAGGAUCUUUAACACAAUGGAUGGGACUAGGUUGCAAGAGGUACGUAGAGGAGUGGACCGAGCAGAUAUAUACAGUAUUGCUCUCUCCCCGAAUGUGCAGUGGCUGGCUGUUUCAAGUGACAAAGGUACUGUUCAUAUAUUCAGUCUUAGGGUACGAGGCGCUGGGGAGGACACAUCUUUUCAGUCUAGUGCUAUGAAAAGUCCAGCAUUUGUUCACCAGAAUUCAUCAUCUUCACUUGAAGCCCUUAUAUCUCCGAGUACGGGGGCAAAUCCUGGUUCAUCAUUGUCAUUCAUGAAAGUAAGGGCAAAUGAAGAAAUUUGGUGUGAAUAUUCAGUGUUUCCUUUUGGAUCUGAGGAUACAAUUAUCAGUCUUGGCAAUGUGGCAUUAUUUAGAAAUAGUUUGAGGUCUGCAUAUAUAGACAAACUCCAAAAUUAAAUAAAAUUCACAAGCAGCAGAAAUAUUAUAUCCUUCUCUGCGGCUUGGCUUUCUAAGCUGUAUGACUAUAGAUUGUAGUGUAGACUAUCUCGUCUUAGUGGUUGUCUUGCCAUAUUGAACUUUUAUGCAUGUAAAAUUUCAACACAGGGGUCUUGCCGAAAUAUUUUAGCUCAGAGUGGUCAUUUGCUCAGUUCCACAUAUCAGAGUGUACACACUUUAGUGCUGCAUUCGGAUCUCAGAACACACUUGUCAUCGUCAGCAUGGAUGGAAGCUUCUACAGGUGUAGUUUUGACCCUGUGAAUGGAGGGGAGAUGAUCCAGCAGGAAUAUGUCCGUUUCUUGAAGAAUGAAAACAAGCCAAGAUGAUGCUAGACUGACCCUAUUUUUUUCUACUGCUGUAAAUAUGAAUCUUUGCUGCUAAUAAACGUAUAUAUCAUGCAUUCUUCAAUUAAAUUUAAUUGGUUAUAUGUGUUCGUUGAUAUAUUGAAGUCCCAUAAACUUGGAUAGAGUUGUGGAUCGACUAUGUUCGAUGAUAAUAAAAAUGAUUUUCGGUAA